UACGAAGGGGGCUAGCGUUGCUCGGAAUCACUGGGCGUAAAGCGCACGUAGGCGGAUUGUUAAGUCAGGGGUGAAAUCCUGGAGCUCAACUCCAGAACUGCCUUUGAUACUGGCGAUCUCGAGUCCGGGAGAGGUGAGUGGAACUCCGAGUGUAGAGGUGAAAUUCGUAGAUAUUCGGAAGAACACCAGUGGCGAAGGCGGCUCACUGGCCCGGUACUGACGCUGAAAUACGAAAGCGUGGGGAGCAAACAGG
rnacentral:rRNA from 1 species